GCGGAUAUAGCAUGAAACAAUUUUCCUUAAGCGCUUUUAUUAGUCCAACUAUAAUAAUUCUUUGUGGAUUCUCAAUUGUAAAAUUCUUAUGAAUGAUUGACUCCUAUCCCUUGUCCUGUGAUUAAAUUAUUGCCUCUCCCUUUGCUUUCUGAGAUAAUUUUAGAACACGUUAAAUAGUAUACAAAACUUUUUUUUUUUUUUAUCUUCUAUCCAAUGGACAGGUAGGUUCGUAUGCCAUUAGAGAUUCAGAGGAGUACAAAAAUUUUUGCGAUCGAUCAAAGGACCAGCGCCCGCUGCCAGAAGAAGUGAUUGGUGUAAGAUUUCUAGACACAUUCAGAUUCUGAUUCUGAUUCCAUGAGGUAUUGAUUUUAUAGGUUUUUGGAUUGGACUUUGAGGAAAACCUCAACUAUGAAUCUCUCUACGUCUCUGUUUAGGACAUUGCAGAACAUCUGACAACAAUACAUUUUAAACGCUGUGACCGUGGAAAAUGCUCCUUAUAUGAAGGCUCUACUCCACCUGGUGGAUUCCCAAAUUCCUGGAAUGGAGCAAUCAACUGCACUUCGGAACUUACAACCUUGAAGAAUAAUGAAAUACAUACCUGGGAUAGGGGAUACGAUGACGGUGGAAAUCAGGUU